ACAGAGGUGGCUCAGAGGUAGAGCUCUUGCCUUCCAUGUGGGAGACCCAGGUUUUAUUCCUAGCCAGUGCA
rnacentral:tRNA from 1 species